rnacentral:rRNA from 1 species
AGAGAGAGACAUGCGCGCAUAUCAAUAAGCGGAGGAAAAGAAACUAACAAGGAUUCCCCUAGUAACGGCGAGUGAAGCGGGAAGAGCUCAAAUUUGAAAUCUUAAAGGGUUUCCCUUUACGAAUUGUAGUUUAAAGAAGUGUUUUCUGUUGAGGUUUUGGUAAAGGUUCUUUGGAAUAGGACAUCAUAGAGGGUGAGAAUCCCGUAUUUGACCUUUACUUUCAACUUUGUGAUACACUUUCAAAGAGUCGGAUUGUUUGGGAAUGCAGUCCAAAAUGGGUGGUAAAUUUCAUCUAAAGCUAAAUAUUGGCGAGAGACCGAUAGCGAACAAGUACCGUGAGGGAAAGAUGAAAAGAACUUUGAAAAGAGAGUUAAACAGUACGUGAAAUUGUCAAAAGGGAAGCGUUUGACACCAGUGUUGUUUUUCUGAAAAUCAAUUAAAGAACUGUUUAUGCUAAGUUGUUUAGACUUUAUCAGCUAUCUGUUUAGUUUUGAGCUUUUCUUUAAUGCACUUUUCAGUUAACAAGUCAACAUCAAUUUCUUUUGCUGUAAAAAAGCUUGAGGAAGGUGGCUUGAGAUUCGUCUUAAGUGUUUAUAGCCUCUUGCCUAUGCAGUCGGAGAGAUUGAGGUCUGCAGCGUAGGAUCCUUCGGGGCUAAAUGCAUUUGUGCUAAGUUAUAGCAUUUUAUAGACAACUUGUUGACUAUGAUUUGUCUUGUAGCUUACUCGCUUAUGUUAUUUUACCUACGCUUAGGGAUGUUGACGCAUGAGAUAUACGC